CCUGGGAAACCGGGUCUAAUACCGGAUACGACCUUUCACCGCAUGGUGGUUGGUGGAAAGAUUUUUUGGUUUUGGAUGGACUCGCGGCCUAUCAGCUUGUUGGUGAGGUAAUGGCUCACCAAGGCGACGACGGGUAGCCGGCCUGAGAGGGUGACCGGCCACACUGGGACUGAGACACGGCCCAGACUCCUACGGGAGGCAGCAGUGGGGAAUAUUGCACAAUGGGCGCAAGCCUGAUGCAGCGACGCCGCGUGAGGGAUGACGGCCUUCGGGUUGUAAACCUCUUUCAGCAGGGAAGAAGCGAAAGUGACGGUACCUGCAGAAGAAGCGCCGGCUAACUACGUGCCAGCAGCCGCGGUAAUACGUAGGGCGCAAGCGUUGUCCGGAAUUAUUGGGCGUAAAGAGCUCGUAGGCGGUUUGUCGCGUCUGCU
rnacentral:rRNA from 1 species